GCGCUCGCUUUGGCAGCACAUAUACUAAAAUUGGAACAAUACAAAGAUUAGCAUGUCCCCCUGCACAAGGAUGACGCACAAAUUUGUGAAAUGUUCCAUAUUAAA